rnacentral:rRNA from 1 species
CCUACGGGAGGCAGCAGCAGGGAAUAUUGCACAAUGGGCGAAAGCCAGAUGCAGUGACGCCGCGUGGAGGAUGAAGGCUUUCGAGUUGUAAACUCCUUUUCCGGGGGACGAGGAAGGACGGUACCCCGGGAAUAAGCCCCGGCUAACUACGUGCCAGCAGCCGCGGUAAUACGUAGGGGGCGAGCGUUAUCCGGAUUUACUGGGCGUAUAGAGCUCGUAGGCGGGGCCCCAAGUCAAAUGUGAAAGCUUCCAGCUUAACUGGGAGAGGUCGUUUGAGACUGGGGUUCUUGAGGGCAGGAGAGGGAGGUGGAAUUCCCGGUGGAGCGGUGGAAUGCGUAGAUAUCGGGAGGAACACCAGUGGCGAAGGCGGCCUCCUGGCCUGUGCCUGACGCUGAGGAGCGAAAGCUAGGGGAGCAAACGGGAUUAGAGACCCCGGUAGUCCUAGCUGUAAACGAUGGAUACUAGAUGUUGGGGGUAUUGACCCCCCCAGUGUCGCAGCUAACGCGUUAAGUAUCCCGCCUGGGGACUACGGCCGCAAGGCUAAAACUCAAAGGAAUUGACGG